GGGAGAGAACACAGGAGAGGGGUAGGACUUGAUCGUAGGAGUUUAUUACAGACCUCUAAACCAAGAGGAACAGCUCAGCCAAGCAUUCUCUAGAGAACUGGCAGAGCUGCAUGCUCAUGGACCAUGGUCAUAAUGGGUAACUUCAAUUACCCAGACAUCUUGUGGGAUUAGCACUCAGCUAGA